rnacentral:lncRNA from 11 species
UUUCAUGUGGUCUCUACUCUCUCUUUUAUAGGUACAUUGAGACCUGUGGGACCAGAGUCGUAAUGAAAGGGACAGUCCAAGUUAGCACCCCUACUUUUCUCCCUCACUACAAAUGCCCAGUGCAGGAAGAAGUCUGAACAUAGUUCUGAGAAUAGAAGCAGCCUGCCAUCUUCAUUGGAUGAGAAGCAGCCUAGGAAGUUGGAAAAUAGUCUUAUCACCAUGUGAGAAGGAACAGUCAAGGGGUACAAGUUGUCUCCUACUGUCCCUGACCUCGAACAGUCUGAAUUAUUUUGGAAAAAGGGAUUCCAGGCUCAAAAUACUGAUGUAUAAUACCAAAUUAGUGAUGAAAAAAACACUUCUGACCCAGAACGUGAUCCUGGAUGAACAUAUUGAGCCAACUUCCUUACAGCAACCUGGCUAG